rnacentral:lncRNA from 1 species
UGGCUAUAUAUUUCCAUAGUAGGAUAUAUAUAUGGAGAAUACUCAAAAUUAUUUCCUUUUUUUUUCCCUCGUAGUUCCUAUGUCGGGUCAGGCAAGCUAGUAUCAAGUAAGCUAAGCGCGGAAGUACUAUUUCUUCUCAAGCUAUGUAGGGUUAGCCAGUGAAAACUGCGAGAUAAGGCAAGUUUAACAAUCCAGUUUGAGUUGCUUGGAGGUCUAUGCGCCCCAGUUGGAGUGCUUCGUCCUUACAGUUCCAGUGCCAGUUAGAGAAAAAAAGCCCAUCCCUUCCUAAGAAGCUAACGAACUAAGGAUCUCCAGAUCUGACUAAAAAAGCUAGUAAGCUAAAGCUUUCCUCGCUCUUCAUUCGAGACUUUCAUUUCAGUUUCUUUACACAAAAGCAAGUGAGUUAGCUUGUGAGAAAUCAAGCUUUCAAGCAGUCCCCUUAUGAUUAUGAGCUUAUGAGAAGCACCCACCCUGCUGUAGAGUAGUCUCCGUAUCAGUCAUUGCAGGAGUAUUUGCAACAAGCUUGUUUUAAGUAAGCAUGCUAAGAUAAAAUAGAGGUCUUUUCCUUAGGGCUAACGAUAAGAUUUUAGAUUCAACGAUAGAGCUAAUUCCUUCCCUGGGAGGGAUCUAUAUAGAUUUCUUUACUCGGCCAGAUCUAAUGAUAAUUUUUCAUAUUCUUUACCUGGAUAUAAUAUAAUUAUAGUCAAUAUAACUAGAGCAAGGUCUAGGUCACGAGUUAGGGCAGACUAGGGUAAUAUAAUUUUCAAUACAUCUAGUAGAAUAGCCUCUAUUAAUCUUUACCUCAGGGAAAGCAAGCCUCUUGUUUUCAUUUCUACCCUUAGCUUAAUAGGAAUCCUCAUUUGAAUAGGGAGCUAUCGAGCUAAGGGAGGGUAAGGGCUAACAUGCUAUAACGUGGAUCCCGAGGGUACGGAAGAUAAGGAGGGUAACGUACUAGUUGCCUCUAAGUCUUAAGCCUAUCCAGUGUAAGGCGAGUUCCUUCCGGUCGUCUUAAGCUCUUCCUUCUGCUAGCGAGAAAAAGCAAAUGCUAAGGUAAUUCUUUUAAGAAGCCCUUGGAGUUGUCAUCGAUCUAGUUUCAGCCUUCGUAGCAGUAUUUCUUGAUUGAGUAUUUCCUGGUGGCCUCCCUAUUCCUACUCAUGAGAGAAAGUCAAAGCUAGUUGGGAAUGCGAGUUUAUACUUUAAUAAAGAAGAAAAUAUAGUAGUUUCAUAUUUGCGAAGUAAAGGGCAAGCGCAGGAAAGCUUUCUUUAUAGCUUAACUCACUAAAGAUAAAGAAGAAGAAGAGAGGAGGAACUAUUUCAAUUGAGAGAAGCACUCUUUCGGGAAUAGCUGCUUCGCUUCUCUUGCUGCUCCUCCAGUUCCAGGUCAGUCUAAUGGGGGUCGGUCGGGCUAUCCUUUCAAGAGAUCUAACUUUCCUUUCUGCCUUCAAUCCAUAUGUAAUAUUACCUUAGGCAAUCAAUCCGCUUUCAAGCUUGUAUCAAUACCUCUUUUUCCAUCCGGUAGGAGUGCUGAGGCAAUCUAUCCAGUGCGAAAACCAGUUCCUGCCAGCCAAUUUGUUGGGUUUGUGUAAUACCUUUUCUUUUUAAGGCAGAGGCAGUAUAAAGUACUUUACCAUCUUUGGCUGGCUCUAAUGUUGAACCAGUAAGUGUCCCU